GAAGCGGGCGCAGGUCCGGUGGCUGCGCGACUAGUUCUUCCGCGCUGCCAUGGUCAGCUUCCCAGGGUUCGAAGCUGGCUACCCAGAAGGCUGAUGGGGGCUAGGGGGAAAGUGACGCGACCCCACCCCUGUGCGCGUACGCGCUCGCCGCGCUCUCUGCGCGCUGUGGAAUAGCGCGAUUAUCCGCGUGACUCAUCCAGCCCGCCCUCUUUCGCACACGCACGCUGGAGUCCGGCUCCCGCCCCGCAGUGCUGGGGCAGGCGCUGGGCCUGGUCUCGCACGGGUCCUCGUGGGGCUGCCUGCCUGGUGGGGGUGGGGAUAGAGAGGAGGCGGUGCGCAGCAUUCGGUGGCGAGGAAUAGGAGCCUCAGAAGACUGGAGGAGUGUUCUCCUGCAACAGGCGGAGAGAAGCCAGAAUGGGAAGAGAGUCAUAGUUUUAAUAUUUAAAGGAGCGAAGAAAGGAGUGAAAGCAUUCAAGAUUUACUUUGGUGGGUGGAGAAGAGAAGAGGGACUGUGAGGCGCGGAGACACCUUUCAACCAGACAGCUCAAAGCACUUUACAAGCUACGCACUCUCCUUUCCACUUUAUGGAUAGGAAAACUGAGUCAUAAAGAGGUGAAAUGGCGAAGUAGAGGUCAAACGAUAGCUCGUUGUUUUAAGCCAAGGCUCCGAAUACGUCAAGCCCACCAAAAGGGACUUAGCUGGAAAGUAGCCAGGUGCCAGGAAGUGGCGUGACCAAGGUGGGACCCUGGUUCCCCCAAAGUGCACACCGAACCGGCACAGCCGUCCGUGUCCACCGGGAGGAGGAAAGGAAGAGGAGAUCAUUAUUACAAUCUUCUAACGCUGCCUCCCCACCCCACUCGCCCCUUAGUUGGUGAUCAGUAAUUUUCCAGUCGGGAAAUGUUUUCGCCCUCAUCUCUGCAAACAGUACUCUUUUUUUUUUUUUUUUUAAACGUGAGUGUGGUGUUCAGUAUCACUUGCUAAACGUAGGCUUGCGAGGUGUUUACUUUGGAUUCCAGCGCGCAGAGCCAGGCUCCGCCCGCGCCCUCUCUUCUGAGCCCCCUCUACAGUGACGGCUGCCUCUGGCCGGUGUCAGCCAAGGAAAGAAAAGGAAAGAGGGUCAAUGGGAAUAGGAGUCGAUACUCGGCACCACGCUGCGUGUGCGCUCAUCCUUCAUGGAACUCCAUUUGCCACGUCCUUUUGUGUUGUUGUUGUCACCUGUUUGAAUCUCGCGAUCCUGGUAACUAUUAGGUUUCCUCAGAAUAUUUGUUAUCCCUGAUUUUUCCACUCCUCGCCGACCACAGAAACAUUCUUGGAAUGUAUCUCGCCCCAAAAGAAUCGAGUCAGGACACUCUGCCAACAACAGGAAUCUCUUAAUAUCCAGGGUUGGACGCCGGUGAGGAUCCUCCAGCUUGGCUUUGGCGGAGGGGCGCGUGGGCGAGCCGCUGGGAGUGGGAAGCAUGAUUCGGCAGGGAAAUGGUGGUCUUCCCCUCUGGCAUCUCAAGGGGUUCAGUACCACCUCCAUAGGACCAAGCCAGUUAGUUUAACUUCGAAAAUAUUUCUCUUCCAAACGUAGGAAUCAAGAAAGGAAAACACCUGCUACCCCAUCCCCCACCCUUUCAUUAUGAUGGCGAAACCCACUUGGGAUGCUAGGACUUGAGGGCUGCAUGGGAAAUUUGCCACUUUUGCCUUAAGUCCCUACACCCUGGUGAACUUGGAUGAGCCCUUGAAUCGCAGCCAUCACCCUCGGGAUGUAAACAUAUAAGCCAGGACUUGGAAUUUACGACUUAAGUAGUCAGUGAACCAGAUUCCUUUCUGCUAUGCUUUUAUUUAUCUAAGGCAAUAGCCCCUCCCCCUCAAAAAAAAAAAAAAACACCAUGACCAGCACAAAGAAAAAAAAAACGAUCUUGUAAAGAUGAAUUGGAAAGCCGCUAUUAUUAUGUCACAUAAUUAAGACAAGAUUCUGAAACUCAGUUGAAAAAGAUGAAGAUUCCAAAUGAGCUUCUGAAGGUUAAAAAACAGUAUCUGUUAGCAGGCAACUAUUAUUCCUCCGACUGCGUCAUAAAGGGAAAUCGCUAUAUUCACCCAGAUUUCUAAAAGAGGUUUAGAACCUAGAGUUCACAAACCAUCCCCUUUCAAGGCAGGUGCCUGGUGCGACAACAAGGUUAUGACCCUCCCUCUCUUCAGAACAGACAUUUGUUGAAUGCUCCAUGAUGACAACAGAUUCAGACAGUCCCGUGGAAGAAAAGACUCUGGAAAGAUUGCUGUGUAAACUGUAGCAUUAUAAAGCUUAGGAAGAAAAGAAAAGAAGCAGCAAUUGAAAUGGAGAUCUUCAGGUGGCAACAAGGAAAUUGAGGCACAAGGAGGGGAAAGUUCUUCCUUAAGGAAAGACAAGGAUGUCACAUGACUGAAUUCAUAUGCAUGGACCCCACAGCUCUGGCUGUUUCAACAAACCACUGGAGCACUCCCAGGAGAAUGCCCCUUAUAGAUAAUUCUCCAAACCCCAUCUGAGCAUCUGGUGAAUGGUUGGAUCUUUCCUCAUGGCAGCUGGAAACCAGCAAGUAAAACAUUUACCAACUUAUUGA